AGAUUGAACGCUGGCGGAAUGCCUUACACAUGCAAGUCGAACGGCAGCACGGGAGCAAUCCUGGUGGCGAGUGGCGAACGGGUGAGUAAUACAUCGGAACGUGCCCAAUCGUGGGGGAUAACGUAGCGAAAGCUACGCUAAUACCGCAUACGAUCUACGGAUGAAAGCAGGGGAUCGCAAGACCUUGCGCGAAUGGAGCGGCCGAUGGCAGAUUAGGUAGUUGGUGGGGUAAAGGCUCACCAAGCCUUCGAUCUGUAGCUGGUCUGAGAGGACGACCAGCCACACUGGGACUGAGACACGGCCCAGACU
rnacentral:rRNA from 1 species